CAAGUCGAGCGAACAGACGAGGAGCUUGCUCCUCUGACGUUAGCGGCGGACAGGUGAGUAACACGUGGAUAACCUACCUAUAAGACUGGGAUAACUUCGGGAAACCGGAGCUAAUACCGGAUAAUAUAUUGAACCGCAUGGUUCAAUAGUGAAAGACGGUUUUGCUGUCACUUAUAGAUGGAUCCGCGCCGCAUUAGCCAGUUGGUAAGGUAACGGCUUACCAAGGCGACGAUGCGUAGCCGAACUGAGAGGGUGAUCGGCCACACUGGAACUGAGACACGGUCCAGACUCCUACGGGAGGCAGCAGUAGGGAAUCUUCCGCAAUGGGCGAAAGCCUGACGGAGCAACGCCGCGUGAGUGAUGAAGGUCUUCGGAUCGUAAAACUCUGUUAUUAGGGAAGAACAAAUGUGUAAGUAACUAUGCACGUCUUGACGGUACCUAAUCAGAAAGCCACGGCUAACUACGUGCCAGCAGCCGCGGUAAUACGUAGGUGGCAAGCGUUAUCCGGAAUUAUUGGGCGUAAAGCGCGCGUAGGCGGUUUUUUAAGUCUGAUGUGAAAGCCCACGGCUCAACCGUGGAGGGUCAUUGGAAACUGGAAAACUUGAGUGCAGAAGAGGAAAGUGGAAUUCCAUGUGUAGCGGUGAAAUGCGCAGAGAUAUGGAGGAACACCAGUGGCGAAGGCGACUUUCUGGUCUGUAACUGACGCUGAUGUGCGAAAGCGUGGGGAUCAAACAGGAUU
rnacentral:rRNA from 1 species